ensembl:lncRNA
AAUAAUAAUAAUAAUAAAAAAGUUAGAUAGGCAGAAGGCAGAAAAACUGGUUUACCCAUCAGCUGUGGAGAUGCAGUAGGACCUGGAGGACUGAGCAAAGAGGCAAACACUGUUUUUCUCUUUCAGUCAUUCUCACUUCUCUUAGAGAAUAUUCUGGAUUUGCCCAUGACUCAGAGGAUGACAUCAGAAAUGACACAUAACCCAUCUGCCCUCACUGAAUGGCAGUAAGAUGUCUCUGCCUCAGGGAGAUGUUGUGAAGAUAGAUUUGUUUUCCUGUAAUUUGACUGUCUGAAAUAAUUUGACUGUAUAAAUGCUAACGAUGCUGAUCUGGAGCAAUCUUCCCACCAUUUCUCGUAAUUUCUGGUGUGUAAAACAGACUGCCUUCCUCAGCUGGAAAUUCCUGUGGGGAGUUUACUGAGAAGUGAAGAGCUCAUUCUCUGCAAGUGGAGUCCCACUGUGCAUCCUGGUGUGUUCAAUUAUGAUUUUUUAGACUGUAUGUUCUCUUUAAUGUGCAUGUGUGCCACUAGGUAGAGCAAGGUAAGGACAGAACAUAGACAUGGGAGAGAGACUUUACUACCUUAUUUCUUGGCAUUUUGAAGUGAUAAUACAAGAAGAUGAUCAGCUGCUUUGGUAGAAAGGAAUAAAUUUACUUCAUUUGUUAAGUUGAUGGAUGAAGGGAUGAUAAAGUUACUCUUGUUUAAAUUCUUUAUAUAGUGGCAUGAUUGAAAGACUAAGGCAGAUGGCAAUUUUGCAAUUGCAACUAUAUAUUUUUCAGCAAAAAAAAAAAAAAAAGAAAAAAAAGUUUUCUAAUUUUCUAACCACUGUUUUUAAGAUGUAUGUAUUACGAAGAAAAACAUUUCACUUAAAGAAACACCAAAAAACAGCAAACCAUGUCAAACUGAUAAUUGAAAAACUAAUGAAUCUUUGUUACUUGUAGGCAUUUUCUCCUGAAAGUCACAUUCCCAUCUUAACUCUCUCUCCCAGGAAGAACUAUGACCAGGAGCUCUUGUGAUGUAACUGCCUUCAUUUGUCACAAUGGGAGAUUGGUAACCAACACUGGAAACGUAUUCUGCAGAAGGAGUACAUUUAUGGAGAAGAAUAUGAACCUGUGGAAGAUGCUUCCCCAGAACCAUGAUAAAGCGGAGUCUCGGAAAGCUGGGUUUGGUCUCAGGAGCAGGAGAAACUACAUGGAAGCCAAAGAAGAAUCAGGUCAGCAUCCCUCACAGACUGUCUCACAAUUCUUUCACUCUGGAUGAGAGUGCAAUGCUAUAAACCAAUUGCAAGAGUAAUGUCUUGUUCUGCUUCCUCUGGUGUCUGGAAUUCUCUGAUAGUCUGAGUGGUAUUAAACAGUGUGCUGUCCUAAGAAUUAAUGCAUGGGAAAGUAAACUUCACGUGGCUUUCUAAACUGGCAUUGAGGUUGAGUCUGUGGAUUAGGGGCUAAUCUGGUACAGAAAACAAUGUUUCUUUUUCUGAUUGGAAGCUACUUUUCAGUCCUUAGACAUAUGUCUGUUGAGUCUGGUCAGUAUGCAUUUUGAAAAAGUACAAAACGAUAAAGCUGACAUCCUAAAGAUACUUUGUAAAGUUUCUGCAACACUGGCAGAGUUAGAGGAAAGAGAAAAGGGAUUAGGAAUAUAUUGUGACUUCAUUUAAGAUAUAGCUAACUAAAUAGCUGGCAAAUCCUGCAAAGGCAUGAAUCAUUUUGCUGUAAAAGACAGACAUAACAUCUUAAUUUUUAGUUGCAUUUUAGUAUCUUGGAAGUGUAUUUUAUUUUACAUCUGCAAGUACAAAUUUGGAUUUUCCACAUGUUAACGCUUUU